UACGUAGGGGGCAAGCGUUGUCCGGAUUUAUUGGGCGUAAAGAGCGUGUAGGCGGCCUAGCGUAGUCGUUGAAUGAACUCGAGGCUCAACCUCGAGACGGUCGUAUGAAACCGUAUGGCUAGAGUCCGGAAGAGGAGAGUGGAAUUCCGUGGUGUAGCGGUGAAAUGCGCAGAUAUCGGGAAGAACACCCGUGGCGAAGGCGGUUCUCUGGGACGGUACUGACGCUGAGACGCGAAAGCGUGGGGAGCGAACAGG
rnacentral:rRNA from 1 species